rnacentral:tRNA from 1 species
GCGAAGGUGGCGGCAUUGGUAGACGCGCUAGCUUCAGGUGUUAGUGUCCUUACGGACGUGGGGGUUCAAGUCCCCCCCCUCGCACCA